rnacentral:rRNA from 1 species
CCUACGGGUGGCUGCAGUGGGGAAUAUUGCACAAUGGGCGCAAGCCUGAUGCAGCCAUGCCGCGUGUGUGAAGAAGGCCUUCGGGUUGUAAAGCACUUUCAGCGGGGAGGAAGGCGGUGAGGUUAAUAACCUCAUCGAUUGACGUUACCCGCAGAAGAAGCACCGGCUAACUCCGUGCCAGCAGCCGCGGUAAUACGGAGGGUGCAAGCGUUAAUCGGAAUUACUGGGCGUAAAGCGCACGCAGGCGGUCUGUCAAGUCGGAUGUGAAAUCCCCGGGCUCAACCUGGGAACUGCAUUCGAAACUGGCAGGCUAGAGUCUUGUAGAGGGGGGUAGAAUGCCAGGCGUAGCGGUGAAAUGCGUAGAGAUCUGGAGGAAUACCGGUGGCGAAGGCGGCCCCCUGGACAAAGACUGACGCUCAGGUGCGAAAGCGUGGGGAGCAAACAGGAUUAGAUACCCCUGUAGUC